rnacentral:lncRNA from 1 species
AUGUUUUUGGGGUCCAGUCAAUCCUGGAAGCAGUAAGCAGUCUUGGAACUUCCCGUGGACACUUUUCAUAGUGACCUGUAUGGCUCAGGCUCCUGAGCAGCCAGUCAUGGGCCAUAAUGUCCAGGUUGGUAUGCGGUAGAUACUGUGCUUGUACUGGAAGCAAGGAGCUGUUUCAAUGGGGUCCAUGCCUCCAAAAGAAUCAGAUUUAACUGGAGAAGGCAGUUGGAAUAAAAGAAAAUUACAAUGCAGA